rnacentral:lncRNA from 1 species
UUUUAGUGUCUCUGUGAAUGAACACUUUCAAAAUUUCCCCAGGUUCUAGUCAAAGGUAGAGACUCCUGGUGAUUAUUUUUAUAUUUCCAUGUCUCAAAGUGGCUUCUUUUAUUAAGAUUCCCAAGAAUAAGACUUAUGAUUUAUCUUCAUGACAUAUUAACAGCCAGUCAUACCAAAUACAUUUUUCUUUCUUAUGUACCCGAAAGUAUAUUCUUGCUGUCAGCCUUUGGGGUACCAUGAAUUUCAAAAAGUUCUCUGGCGUUUUUGCUAAACAUGGAACAUUUUUUAGCUUUGUGAGUUAUCAAAAUAGUUAGAGGUUCUGGAGAGAAAAAGAAACAGAAAUGAAGUCAGAAUGGUGUCUUAUCAGUAAGAAAUAAGAAAAUGUGCAAUUCAUCCUGUGACCUUCAUUUAUAAAAUGACUGAAAUGGACUAAUGUUUAUGGGGAAUCCUGUGAAUGAGCUAACACAAUUUGUAGUUGACCAAAAUUGGACUCAGUGGCCAUACCUGCUAUUUCGAAUAUAAAAGAGAGUUCAUGUUUCACAUUAAAAAUUAUUUUCAAGGCAGUGUCAUUUUGGAAAGAAAUGAAAUUAUUUGAAUUUCACAGGGUCCUUUAGUGUUUAUCUCUUGGACUUCACUUCUUGGAUAUGUUUGCAGCAGAAAAAGUAAUCAAAUCACUAGCCACUUCGGAUUUUCCCAAAAGUAGAUGAGUCAUUCCUAACUCAUUGGAGGAGGGAAGCAUCUUUCAUCUUUGCAAAAAAACCCACCUUUCUUAUUUUAUAUAACAUAAUUUGUCUCAUCUUCUGUAUGUAAGCUCUCAUAUUUGAAUUCAGAGGUCCUAAUAGCAAGUUAAAACUAUGCAACAUGUCCCUUGGGUAUUUCAUAGGCAUCAUCUCCACACAACUAGUUAAGAAUUUUUAUGUCUCUCUGUCACAUUUCAUUUUGACCUUCAAUUUUUAAUUUGAAUUCUUAUAAAUAGAAGCAAAAAUGCAUGACAGGAAAGGGAGAAACAGAGAAGCAAGGGGAUUUAUGCAUGUGGGUAGUCGCCUCUUGGUGUUUCUGUUCUGAAGAGGAGAUUUCCCUGUUUUUUUUUUUUUAAAUGGGAAAAAGAGGACAGAAUGUGGAGAUUCAAGAGUGUGCAGUGGAGUUUGGAUUUACUCUCACGUGUCCUGAUGUGCCGUCACCAUGCUUUUGCGCUCCGUGGAAGAAAUUGC